rnacentral:rRNA from 1 species
UGCUGGUAUUUUGUCUAAAUGUGCACCACCUCUUCCCAUUCCGAACAGAGAAGUGAAAGCGUCUAGAUCCGAUGAUACUUUGGCUUUCGGGCCUUGGGAAAGUAGGAUAUGCCAGCAA